GACGAGCGCUGGCGGCGUGCCUAAUACACGCAAGUUGAGCGCUGAAGGUUGGUACUUGUACCAACUGGAUGAGCAGCGAACGGGUGAGUAACGCGUGGGGAAUCUGCCUUUUAGCGGGGGACAACAUUUGGAAACGAAUGCUAAUACCGCAUAAAAACUUUAAACACAAGUUUUAAGUUUGAAAGAUGCAAUUGCAUCACUCAAAGAUGAUCCCGCGUUGUAUUAGCUAGUUGGUGAGGUAAAGGCUCACCAAGGCGAUGAUACAUAGCCGACCUGAGAGGGUGAUCGGCCACAUUGGGACUGAGAAAAGGCCCAAACUCCUAAGGGAGGCAGCAGUAGGGAAUCUUCGGCAAAGGACGAAAGUCUGACCGAGCAACGCCGCGGGAGUGAAGAAGGUUCUCGGAUCGUAAAACUCUGUUGGUAGAGAAGAACGUUGGUGAGAGUGGAAAGCUCAUCAAGUGACGGUAACUACACAGAAAGGGACGGCUAACUACGUG
rnacentral:rRNA from 1 species